GCUUCCCUUCGGGGAGGAGCGGCGGACGGGUUAGUAACGCGUGGGAACAUACCCUUCUCUAAGGAAUAGCCUCGGGAAACUGAGAGUAAUACCUUAUACGCCCUUCGGGGGAAAGAUUUAUCGGAGAGGGAUUGGCCCGCGUUAGAUUAGAUAGUUGGUGGGGUAACGGCCUACCAAGUCUACGAUCUAUAGCUGGUUUUAGAGGAUGAUCAGCAACACUGGGACUGAGACACGGCCCAGACUCCUACGGGAGGCAGCAGUGGGGAAUCUUGGACAAUGGGCGCAAGCCUGAUCUAGCCAUGCCGCGUGAGUGAUGAAGGCCUUAGGGUCGUAAAGCUCUUUCACCAGGGAUGAUAAUGACAGUACCUGGAAAAGAAACCCCGGCUAACUCCGUGCCAGCAGCCGCGGUAAUACGGAGGGGGUUAGCGUUGUUCGGAAUUACUGGGCGUAAAGCGUACGUAGGCGGAUUAGUAAGUUAGGGGUGAAAUCCCGAGGCUCAACCUCGGAACUGCCUCUAAAACUGCUAGUCUUGAGUUCGAGAGAGGUGAGUGGAAUUCCGAGUGUAGAGGUGAAAUUCGUAGAUAUUCGGAGGAACACCAGUGGCGAAGGCGGCUCACUGGCUCGAUACUGACGCUGAGGUACGAAAGUGUGGGGAGCAAACAGGAUUAGAUACCCUGGUAGUCCACACCGUAAACGAUGAAUGCCAGUCGUCGGGUAGCAUGCUAUUCGGUGACACACCUAACGGAUUAAGCAUUCCGCCUGGGGAGUACGGUCGCAAGAUUAAAACUCAAAGGAAUUGAC
rnacentral:rRNA from 1 species